rnacentral:rRNA from 1 species
AAAUUGAAGAGUUUGAUCAUGGCUCAGAUUGAACGCUGGCGGCAGGCCUAACACAUGCAAGUCGAGCGGUAGCACAGAGAGCUUGCUCUCGGGUGACGAGCGGCGGACGGGUGAGUAAUGUCUGGGAAACUGCCUGAUGGAGGGGGAUAACUACUGGAAACGGUAGCUAAUACCGCAUAACGUCGCAAGACCAAAGUGGGGGACCUUCGGGCCUCAUGCCAUCAGAUGUGCCCAGAUGGGAUUAGCUAGUAGGUGGGGUAACGGCUCACCUAGGCGACGAUCCCUAGCUGGUCUGAGAGGAUGACCAGCCACACUGGAACUGAGACACGGUCCAGACUCCUACGGGAGGCAGCAGUGGGGAAUAUUGCACAAUGGGCGCAAGCCUGAUGCAGCCAUGCCGCGUGUGUGAAGAAGGCCUUCGGGUUGUAAAGCACUUUCAGCGGGGAGGAAGGCGGUGAGGUUAAUAACCUCAUCGAUUGACGUUACCCGCAGAAGAAGCACCGGCUAACUCCGUGCCAGCAGCCGCGGUAAUACGGAGGGUGCAAGCGUUAAUCGGAAUUACUGGGCGUAAAGCGCACGCAGGCGGUCUGUCAAGUCGGAUGUGAAAUCCCCGGGCUCAACCUGGGAACUGCAUUCGAAACUGGCAGGCUAGAGUCUUGUAGAGGGGGGUAGAAUUCCAGGUGUAGCGGUGAAAUGCGUAGAGAUCUGGAGGAAUACCGGUGGCGAAGGCGGCCCCCUGGACAAAGACUGACGCUCAGGUGCGAAAGCGUGGGGAGCAAACAGGAUUAGAUACCCUGGUAGUCCACGCUGUAAACGAUGUCGAUUUGGAGGUUGUGCCCUUGAGGCGUGGCUUCCGGAGCUAACGCGUUAAAUCGACCGCCUGGGGAGUACGGCCGCAAGGUUAAAACUCAAAUGAAUUGACGGGGGCCCGCACAAGCGGUGGAGCAUGUGGUUUAAUUCGAUGCAACGCGAAGAACCUUACCUGGUCUUGACAUCCACAGAACUU